AUUGAACGCUAGCGGGAUGCUUUACACAUGCAAGUCGAACGAGUGGCGGACGGGUGAGUAAUGCAUCGGAAUCUGGCUAAUGGCGGGGGAUAACUACUGGAAACUGUAGCUAAUACCGCAUACCAUAGGAUGAGCCCAAGUGGGAUUAGGUAGUUGGUGGGGUAAAGGCUCACCAAGCCGACGAUCUCUAGCUGGUCUGAGAGGAUGACCAGCCACACGGGGACUGAGACACGGCCCAGACUCCUACGGGAGGCAGCAGUGGGGAAUAUUGCGCAAUGGGGGAAACCUGACGCAGCCAUGCCGCGUGAAUGAAGAAGGCCUUCGGGUUGUAAAGUUCUUUUGGUAGAGAGGCGGUAACUACAGAAGAAGCACCGGCUAACUCCGUGCCAGCAGCCGCGGUAAUAC
rnacentral:rRNA from 1 species